UCAAGCCCUGAAGCCUCCAGUAACUUCAAGAACUUCGACUUCGAAUACAAAGAACAUUCGAAGCAAAAUCAUCCAAAUCAUCUUCCUAGAUCUCAAAGUUCACUGGAAUCAAGCUCAAAAGCCUCCAGAAACCUCAAGAAAUCACAAAUCAGUGAAGCUCAAUGGAUUCAAGCCUCUAAAGCACCGAAUAACUUCCACCACAAACCUUCGAAGACGAAGAACACACAAAGAACACGAAGAACACGAAGACUGUGAAGAACAAAGGAUUUCCAACAAGCUCAUAGCCAGAGAUUCAUUGUAAUUUAGUUCCAAAGAUCUUUGAUCCAUUCUUCAGCCAAAUUGAAGUACAUUGGGUGUUCGAAUCAAAAUCACAUUACUACAAAUCCAAUCAACAAGUCUUUUAAGGAGAUCGAAUAAGAGGAUAACUCUUUUGUAAUUACAGAGAAUUGUACCACACAAUCAUCAAUACAAAUUCGCAUUUGUGAAACUA